UACGAAGGGGGCUAGCGUUGCUCGGAAUCACUGGGUGUAAAGGGUGCGUAGGCGGGUCUUUAAGUCAGGGGGUGAAAUCCUGGAGCUCAACUCCAGAACUGCCUUUGAUACUGAAGAUCUUGAGUUCGGGAGAGGUGAGUGGAACUGCGAGUGUAGAGGUGAAAUUCGUAGAUAUUCGCAAGAACACCAGUGGCGAAGGCGGCUCACUGGCCCGGUACUGACGCUGAGGUGCGAAAGCGUGGGGAGCAAACAGG
rnacentral:rRNA from 1 species